UUUUUUUUCCUUUUUUUUUCUUUUCUUUUUUUUUUCUUUUUUUCUUUUUUUUGACUAAUUUGUUAUUUGCCAUUUCUGGGGAUUAAACUUUAAAAAAUGUUCUUCUUUUCUGUAUCUGAUGUUCUGUGUGCUAUUAGUGACGCAGCCAACACGAACGGUUGUCAUGUGUAACACAACUUUCGAUCACCGCGAAAACAGCGUCCUGGGAAAGCGUCCAUGCUUGAUAUCGUUUGGUUCAUGAACAUUAAGUUUCCAGUACAGGUGACCCAUAGCUCAAAGUGUUAAAUAAUUGUCUACAUUAUUCAGUUUUUAAAAUAAUGUUCCAUUAAUGAGAUUGUUAGUCUUUGAAGUUUUGCUCACUUUUAUUUUUCCUAAUAGAGCAGGAUAAAAGGAAAGCCUUAUGUUCUUCUUAUUUGUUUCUUUGUAUGGAUCUGAUAGAUAGAUUCAUUUAUUAUUAUUAUUUUUUAAGUGCAAGGGUAAUUGUAAAAUCAUAGUGUAAAGUUGGUGUGGUGUUUCUGCUUUCCCUAAUGUUUGGAACUUGCCUCUGCAGGUAAAAUCCCAGAAGAAGCCAAAGCCCUCUCUUUACUGGCUCCUGCUCCAACCAUGACAAGCCUGGUACCUGGUGCAGGGUUGCUUCCCAUCCCAACCUCCAGUCCUCUGACGGCAGUGAGUAGUGUAAGUCCUCUUGAUGGUGUGAGCACUGACCUAUGCAUAGAUUGAGUAAGACAUUUUUACUUUGUUUUGUUUGGCUUGGUGACAGCCAUUCAAAGUCCAUGCUUAAAAAUUUUUCCCACAUCAUCUCAGUUGAUGUUGCUUUGGGAAUUACUCUGAAAUAAUUGGGGGCUUGUUCACAUUUGAAAAUUCAAAUAGGAAACUCAGUGCUUUAGAUAAUAGACUUGGAGGCCCAGUUACACUUCUCAGUUCAGGAGAAACACAAGGACUAAGUUCAUUUUAAGGGAGAUAAAUUUUGGUAAUGGAAAAAGCAUUACAAACAAGGUAAAAUACAACAGAAUCCUUACAUUUUUGCUGUGUAGAAUUAAGCAGUAAUUAAUAUCUUCUUAUUUCUCAGUAAAGGAAAAAUAUAACCAUUACUGGGCUUUUGUUUUUUGUGUGAGAAAGAUUCUGGUCAUACUCUGUUUAAAGGAGGGCCAUUUAUCAGGUAAGGACUGUGCCUUGUUAACUCGCUAGUGUUUCGUAGGGUGUGUGUAAACCUGAUGAUUGUGGUGGUCAGUUUGUUCUGGUUGUAGAAGUGGCUUCUGAAAGCAUUAUUAUCCAGCAUUCUACUGUAGGAGACCGUGGAGCAAGACAGUUUUUCGUUUAACUUCUGUGCUUGUGGAACUAAUGCUGCUCAGUUUGGAGGAGAGCGAAGGGAGAGGACGAGGGCUUAAGACCGGGCAGGACACUGGCUUGGUAGUACGCUUUAGAUCAUAGAAAGGUGUUUGAAUUUUAUAUUUAAGUUGAUUAGAGGCAACGUGACCUCACAUGUUUUUUAAAAAAUGAGACUGGAAACUAUGACAAAAGUAAGUGACAGUGGUUUUGUAAACUUGUUUUUUUCAUCUUUAGAAAGUGCUGUUGUUUAACAGUUGUUGCAUCUUAGUCAUUUACAGUGUAUUUGUACACAUUGUCAGGGGUCACUUUUAUGAGUAGCACAAGUAGAAAUGAAAAUGAUUGUAUUUCUUUUCUUUAAAAGCCUUUUGUUACUGCUGUCAAAUGGCGAACAUGCUUUAAAAUUCUGAGAACUUCUGUCUCUUUAAACAUACUUUAAGGUGAACAUGUCUCCUAACGUGUUCUAACACUGACUUUACUAAUGUUCUAGAAAGCUUAGUCAGUGGGGCCCAGAGAGAUGGUUCUGCCGUUAAGAGCACUUACUGCUCUUGCCUAGGACCUGCCUCUGGUUCUCAGCACCUUUGUGAGGUGGCUUACAGUCUCUGGAGCUCCACCUCUAGGUGCCCCAUACCCGCUCUCAGUCUCUGUGCUGCACACAUAAACAUAAAAUUUUAAAUUUUAAGAAAAGAUGACUCUGUGGUUUUUGUUCCUCCCCCCUUCCAUUAUCACAUAAAAAAUUGCUCACCAUUCCAGAUUCUUCUUGAACUUUUGUCUGUCUCAGCUUUAUUUUGUUGAUGUUGAGCCUGGUGUUACCAGGUCAUUUAAUUUCUCUACGACUCCUCCCUCCUCUUAGUCUUUUCUUUAGUCAGGGUCUCACGUUGCCUCAGCUUCCUUUCAGCUCUGUACUGAGAAAAGAGCCUAGAACUCUUCUUGGUCCACCUGCCUCUGAUGCGUGGCGAUUACUGUUAUGUGCUACCAUUUCUUCCUUAAGUUUUUAAAAAAUUUGGAUCCUGUAAUACCACUGUUUCGUGCUGAUAACAAGGAUCCCGUUACUAAUGCAGUAAAUCUAAAUGCUGCAGUAAUGAUUACAACCUCACCCAGCUGGUGGUUUGGAAUCACCGAAAUACAGAUAACGCUCGCAGAUUCUGUGUUUGUGAACUCAUUCACUUAGUGAAAGGCCUUGAAACCCCCAAAUCACUGUCUGCAGCAGACACGCACUCUAGGGUGAUGAUGAGCUUGAGUCCCAUGAAGUGCGUAUUUCCAGAUGAAGCCAAGUGUCUUCCGCUGUGUCUCAGUACUCAUUUUGCAGACAAGUGUGAGUGUAGUCUGUUUAGUGCCAUAUUCUUUGCAAUUCUGUUUUUGUGUGUUAAUUUGCUCUUUAGAUAGUUCCCCAUACACAGUGCAUUUAAAGAAAAAAAAGCUUAGUCAGUGUGAUGGAAAUGGAGAAAAGUUUCAUGUUGUUUAGUUGGUCAUGUAGUCAGUGUUGAUGAAUCAACAUAUAUUAACUGAGGGACCAUCAGACAGAAAGAAAGACGCAUCAGAAAGUUCUGUACUGAAUGCUCGAUGGACAGGGAUAGCGUCACGACAGGCUCCCAGAAACUUAACCUCCCUUCUUUCCAAGGCAUUGGCUCAGUUUACAAUAAUGCUGUUUAUGGUGAUCACAGGAUAUAACUAUACUGAACAUUGGAAAGUACUGUUCAUUUUUAGUAUCACUUUAAGGGUGGGUAAAUACCCCGACAAUUAAGGAAAUGUAUGUUUUCUUUUAAACAGAUACAUGUAGCCUGGUCUACAAAGUAAGUUCAAGGCAGCCAGGGCUAUACAGAGAAACCCUGUCAAGAAAAAAACCAAAAAAUAAAUAAAUUAAUUUAAUUAAAUU
rnacentral:lncRNA from 1 species